rnacentral:snRNA from 1 species
AUCCUAGAACUGCGGUCCUAGAACUGCGGUCCUGAAACUGCAGCCUCCGGUUGUGCAGGAACAUACUAUUGGCGAAUUCCCCAAAUGUGGGAAUCUCGACUGCAUAAUUUAUGGUAGUGGGGGACUGCGUUUGCGCUCGCCCCUG